GCUAACGCCGGGACAGGAGCCGGGGGAGUACGGAGGGGGGAAGCGUUAAUCUGAAGUACUGGGCGUAAAGCGUGCGCAGGCGGCUUAUUAAGUCAGAUGUGAAAUCCCUAGGCUCAACCUAGGAACUGCAUUUGAAACUAAUAAACUAGAGUAUCGUAGAGGGAGGUAGAAUUCCAGGUGUAGCGGUGAAAUGCGUAGAUAUCUGGAGGAAUACCAGUGGCGAAGGCGACCUCCUGGACGAAAACUGACGCUCAAGCACGAAAGCAUGGGGAGCAAACAGGAUUAGAUACCCGGGUAGUC
rnacentral:rRNA from 1 species